rnacentral:ncRNA from 1 species
GUUACUCUGCCACCGGGUAGAAAUGUGAAAGCAUUCGUUGCACAUCGUUAGGUCUUAGAAGAUGUGUAUAUGGGUGCUUGUUUUUGU